rnacentral:lncRNA from 1 species
CGCCGGGCCAGGGACCGCCGGCUGCGAGCAGCGGGAACGGACCUGCCCCGGGUCGCAGCGGUUUUUCCCGGGCGGGGCUGAGGCUGCAGGGAGGCGGGCGUUCCGGCGGAGGGUCACGGCCUCGCCGCCGGGACUUUCCUGGGGUGGAGGUGUGAGCACGUAGGAGCCCUGGCCUUUCCAACUUCCCAGGUCAGACUGGGGCUGGGACCACCCUGCGCGGCCUUGGAUGCAGGGAACCAACCCAGUGCUAGUCCGCCCUCGCGGGGACCUGUCCUCUCGCCUGACCUAUGAAGUCCGUCCCUGCCUCCAAGGCUCCAACAAAGUCCUUCUUUCCCCCAGAGUAGCAGUUCUCAAACUUGAGUGCAUCAGCAUCACCCAGAGGCUGUAUUCAAACACGUUGCUGGCUCCCUCCACGGUUUCUGAUUCUGUGGGUUUAGGGUGGUGAUGCUGAUUCCUCUGGUCAAAGGACCAUCCCUGGAGAGCCACUGCCCUUUAGGUAACGAUUUUCCCCUCAUUUUUCUUCUGAACUCGGUCAGCACCUUGUUCAGCCUCCCACUGAGCCUGGAACCCUUGACAGCUGGGGAAACAAGUGCGUUGCUGCUAAGCCAGGAGGGCACCUAGGAAUCCCAGCUUCCAAUCCAGGGCGUUUUCCUCUGCAUUCACUGCUUCUUUUACUCUCUUGGGAGCCUAUGUGUGGGAUCCAGAACAGGGCAGAACCCUGAGUAGUAAACGCUGAACGGGAAGCGAGGUUAGUUAAAUCCAACUGCAGGAGAGGAAAAAAGAGUCCUUUUCUUCCGGAGAGGAGAGGGUACACAGAGGAUGCCUGUCCACUGACCAAACCUGCCCUGAGCAUCACCAUUGACGCUUUCGUUCAUUCAAAAAACAAAGUUAAUUCAGCAGGUGCUCUAUGCCAGGCACUGACUUGGUAUGGGGGAUAAUGAAGGAAAUAAAACCGAGAUCCCUGUCUUUGGAGAACAUACUUCCUAAUAGGGAGAUUAACAGUAAACACAAUAAAAGCAUGUGAUCUUUCUUUUUUUCACUCCACCUUUCCCCCAUCAAAUGAGGAAGGAAAGCUCAAGCAGUUUACUAUUUUGGGAAAAUUGUGCCAUCGUGCUUAGUACAUAGUGUGUAUCAGACUUAAGAAAAG